AACAGCAACUGCAGCUCUGGCCCAAGCCAGGUGUGGGCUGACCUAGCCAGGGAGCGGGGAAGUGAAAGGAAUGGGUCCCUUCCCACUCAGAGGGCGGAGCCCCCACUUCUGGUGAGAGAAAGCUGAGCAGAAUGGAUCUAAUCUGAUUCCUCCACCCAGAAGCCCUUAAAAUGCAGCUUUGUUUUAAGCCUUCUUGAAGAUUUGGGCUAGAUCUAGAAAAGAACCUCACCACGGAGGAUGUGCAAAGUACAACACGUGACCCCGGAGACGGAAGCUCUUCUCUACCUCCGUAAAGAUGAUCUCUGAUGAACAGACAUGAUCAUGCCUGGAGAACAGGGAUGGACAGUCCCGCUUCUGAAAGACCCUGUCUGGCUGAUGAUUCAUGGUGCGCCGGGCAGACCCCAGGCCAAGAGACCCCACCCACAGUACCUGAGUGCUCAGCUGGGAACCAGACCAGACCUCAAAACAGGUUUGCAGAAUUAAGAUGAGGAGCUGAGCUCAACACAGCCUCCGCAGCUCCCCAGGGCGGGCCUGAGCCGAGGGAGAGCCCAUGGCCAUCAGGGUGCUGGAAUGCAUGUCACACUGCAUUACGUGCAUUACGAUCCACGCUGCAAUGACAGCCCAGAGCGUGGAGAACCCAGAGAGGGUGGGGAGAUGGAAUCCCGGCGAGCCAGCGCUGGCAGGGACCACGGGGAGCAGCUGGUCCAGCCGCCGGUUUUCCAAGAGAGAAGACUAAGAAACCAGCCCCCCAGCAUUGACCUGGAUGCCUGCCACAGCCUCCUCCCUGGUCUCCGGCCUCCCACCUCUGCUCCUCGGUCUCCUCUACCCAGCCAGUAACUGCAGAGAGCACUAAAGCACAGUCCUGGCAUCUCACCCCCUUAACCCUGGCCACGGCUUCCCAGUGCCUCCAAGAUAAAGCACCAACACCUGAGGACAGCAGCUUGUUUUGAGAGUCCCCUCCAUUGAAACACGCACAUCUAAUUUGUCCUUCAGUUCGCUGGACUCCACGCUGAACGUGCCAUGCUCCAUUGCCCCGUGGGGCCACCCGCAGACUGUAACCGGCUGGUUCAAGAUCAAGGACUUCCCCAGGCCACCUGCCUCAGAGGCAAGAAAGGCUCAGCUGAGUCCCAGACACUCCUCGCUGUGGCCCCUCCUUCCUCCCUGCUGGGCAGGCCCCCCUCAAUUCUGUUUGCCAGCAGGGCCUAGUAACACUGAAAGACGAAAAGGGAAAUAAAAUAAACACAAUUAAUAGGCUAAAGGUUACUGAAUAAAGUGGCAGCAGUAAAUAAAUUGACUACUGUGCAAAUACAAAGACAUGAAGACAUGAAACCCCUGCUCUAAAUGACCACUCACCAAGAGCAAGGCCUGGGCUGGAGGCAGGGAGCACCUCCCUAAGGAGCACUCCCUCUUUCCCGGAGUGAGUCCUCCUUCUAGAUGGAAUUCAGUCCGGGUUCCUCUUGAGCCACAGUCCCUGUUGGGGCCUAUCUCAGUGGACUCAAGAUCCUGAACUUCUUCCAGAUUGCUGACUACACAUUUGAGUCACCCAGAGAUUAAAAGAAAAAACAAAUAAUUUCCCAGUGAUCAGGAGUAAAUCAGCUGGGGCAGGGUUGGUGCUAUGAAUGACCACACUGAUUUGUACACUUCACUGAUUUGUAGUGUUUGCUAUUUCCGUCGUGUAAAUACUGCCAACAUGGACAAUCUUCAGUUGCUAAUGGUUUACUAACUGGCUUGUAAAUGAAUUCAUUCAGUAUUCAAGAAAAUGGCACUACAUUUAGAAACAUUUUGUAGCAUUUCUUACUUUCUAAGAAUUUCCAAUAGACACCAUGAUCACUAAAAAAUCAUAACCAGGCUGGGGGCAGUGGCUCACGCCUAUAAUUCCAAUAAUUUGGGAGACCAAGGAGGGAAGAUCACUUGAGGCCAGGAGUUUGAGACCAGCCUGGGCAACAUAGCAAAGACUCCAUCUCUACAAAAAAAAAAAAAAAAAAAAAAAAAAAAAGUUAGGCAGCUGGUGGCAGGCACCUGUGGUCCCAGCUAUUCAGGAGGCUGAAGCAGGAGGAUCACUUGAGCCCAGGAGGUUGAAGUUACACUGAGCCGUGAUCACACCACUGCAUUCCAAAUAAAAACUAAAUUAAAAUAUAUAUAUAUAUAUAUAUAUAUAUUUUUUUUUUUUUUUUUUUUUUUUUUUUUUUUCUGAGACAGAGUCUAGCUCUGUGUCCAGACUGGAGUGCAGUGGCAUGAUCUCGGCAACCUCCACCUCCCAGGUUCAAGUGAUUCUCCUGCCUCAGCCUCCGGAGUAGCUGGGAUUACAGGCGUCUGCCACCACGCCCAGGUAAUUUUUGUAUUUUUGGUAGAGAUGGGGUUUCACCAUGUUGGUCAGGAUGGUCUCGAUCUCCUGACCUCGUGAUCCACCCACCUUGGCCUCCCAAAGUGCUGGGAAUACAGGCGUGAGCCACUGCGUCUGGCCUAAAAUAAACUUCUAAAAAAGAAAAAUUGGCCAGGCACAGUGGCUUAUGCCUGUAGUCCCAGCACUUUGGGAGGUCGAGGCAGUUGGAUCACCUGAGGUCAGGAGUUCAAGACCAGCCUGACCAACAUGGUGAAACCCCGUCUCUACUAAAAAUACAAAAAUUAGCCAGGCAUGGUAGUGGGCACCUGUAAUCCCAGCUACUCAGGAGGCUCAGGCAGGAGAAUUGGUUGCACCUGGGAGGUGGAGGCUGCAGUGAGCCAAGAUCAUACCAUUGCAGUCCAGCCUGGGCGACAGAGCAAGACUUCGUCUCAAAAAAAAAAAAAAAAAGGGAAAGAAAAAUUAUAACCAAUCGACAUUCAAUAAAUUAUUUAUUGGCUGGGCGCAGUGGCUCAUGCCUGUAAUCCCAGCACUUUGGGAAGCCGAGGUGGGCAGAUCACAUGAGGUCAGGAGUUCGAGAGCAUCCUGGCUAACAUGAUGAAACCCUGUCUCUACUAAAAAUACAAAAAUUAGGUGGGCAUGGUAGUGCGAGCCUGUAGUCCCAGCUACUUGGGACGCUGAGGCUGGAGAAUCAUUUGAACCCGGGAGGCAGAGGUUGAAUGAGCCAAGAAUGGCAUCACUGCUCUCCAGCCGGGACAACAGAGCAAGAUUCUGCCUCAAGGAAAAAAAAAUUCAAUAAGUUAUUUAUUUGUCAAAUAAUUUAUAAAGCAGCUUUCUCAAAGCCCUUUCAAAAAGUUUACAGCAGCCAAGAGUGGUGACUCAUGUCUGUAAUCCCAGCACUUUGGGAGGCCAAAGUGGGCAGAUCACCUGAGGUCAUGGGUUCGAGACCAGCCUGACCAACAUGGUGAAACCACGUUUCUACUAAAAAUACCAGAAUUAGCCAGGCAUGUUGGCAUCAGCCUGUAGUUCCAGUUACUUGGGAGGCUGAGGCAGGAGAAUCACUUGGACCCAGGAGGCGGAGGCUGCAGUGAGCCAAGAUCAUGCCAUUGCACUCCAGCCUGGGCAAUGGAGCGAGACUCUGUCUCAAAAAAAAAAAAAAUUACAGCAAAAAAUACUUGAUGUGGGCCACAGGUGUGUUUUAAUAUGCUUGAUCUGAUGUGCGAGAGGCCCUGAGAGGGAGUGUUUCCAGGACCUACAGAGGGAAUGAGAGAGGAGAGUCCCUGCUGUCGGGAGGUGGGUGAGAAAAGCUCCUACCACUGCAGAAAUCCUCCUGUAAGGCUCCUCGGCGGCUCACCAGGCGAUUCCUCAGCGAAGAAAGGUGAGGCAGCUUGCCCAGGGUCACCCGGCCAGUCUCAAUUGAGGACUGACAACCAAAAUGAGUGACUGAGGCAAGUCUUAAUCACUGAGGUUUAUUAAGCCACGUUAGGGCGCUUCUGGGAAAAACAAGCCACAGACACAUCUGUGGCUGUUUUUCCCAAGAAGUUCCAAGUUUUGUAUUUGUACAUUUCUUCCUUUUUUUUUUUCUUUUUGAUACGGAGUUUCACUCUUGUUGCCCAGGCUGGAGUGCAGUGGCGCGAUCUCAGCUCACUGCAACCUCCACCUCCCGGGUUCAAGCGAUUCUCCUGCCUCAGCCUCCCGAGUAGCUGGGAUUACAGGCAUGAGCCACCACACCCGACUGAUUUUUGUAUUCUUAGUAGAGACGGGGUUUCUCCAUUUGGUCAGGCUGGUCUCAAACUCCUGACCUCAAGUGAUCCACCCACCUCAGCCUCCCAAAGUGCUGGGAUGACACCUAGGAAGAGGGGCAGGCGGGCAGUCAGGCUUAGGCGAACACUACAUUUUAUAUAAGAUAAGGUGAACAUCUGAAGGUGGAAAUGAGCGCCACUGCACUCAGCCUGGACAACAGAGCAAGACCCUGUCUCAAAGAAAAAGAGAAGUGUGAGUGGUCCUGAUUUUUAAAAUUUUCCUUUACAGGACUUUGGACACUAGAACUAGGCCUCUUUCCAAAACAUGCUGAUACUGAAGGGGUCACGCUGAAGGCUGAGGGCUAGGGCCUUUAAAGGUGGGGCACCCUCUUCCUUCUACCCGUCCUUGACCCUCAGCAGACUACAGGUUGAUCUCCCCUUUGCCAUGAGUGCCCAAGGAGGGAACUUGUGAUCUAGCAGUUUCUUGAUAAUCCCCAAAAGGCUUUAAUUACUCCAUUUCCCUGCCACGCCCAGGGCAGGAGGAGGGUGAGCGGGAAAGCUGUCCACCUUCUGCUAAACGGGUCAGGAGGCAUCGGGAGCCACGUGGGUUGUGGUUUAGGAGCCUGAGCUGCUGAUCCCCAGGCAGGCCUACACAAUGGGAGCUGCUCCCUGCAGCCCCCGGGCCGGCCUGGGUUGCAUAACCCAUGAGGUCAGCCCGGCCUGCGGCAGUUGCUUUCCCACAACGGAGGGGCCGCUCCCCACCUCCUGCGGGACCCACAGCCCUGGGUCUCUUUCCAGCUUUCCUCUUUCACUGGCAAAGCUGCAGGCCCCAUAAACUGGGGAAGGGUUGAGGCCCUGCCUCUCCUGAACUGGGCAAGGGUCGAGGACUUCCCCAUGGGUCCAGGCCUCCAGCAUUACAUCAGGAGGUAGCCUGGGGAGGACAGAGCACUGAAUCCCUCUGGCAUCAGCUCCUCUGGCCAGCCCUGCACCUGCUCUGUGGGGCUAGGGCCUGGGGAGGUGUCCCAAAAUAGCCCGCAGGGGCCCGGGAGCUCUGGCCUUCAAGGUCAGACACUAGCACUGAGAAUCCUGGUGAGGCUGUCUUCCCAGACCCCGCCUGGCAGGCCGGCUGGGCACGGCUGCGGAGAAAGACAGGGCAGGCUCCCCAGGCACUGGCCCCCGCGGCAACCUCUCCUGUCUCUAAAAUCGGAUGUAGAUUAAGAACGCUCCAUCUGGCAAGACCAAAUGGAAUUCGGCAGAAGCAUAACCAGGACACUGGGUUUUGGAUCUGUGACUCUCCACACAUGCAGAGGACAAAAAUACAAGAGAAAGGGGUCAGGAGAGAGGCGUAUGAUGGGGGGCGGGGGUGUGAUGUGUGUGUUGUGUGGGUGUUGUGUGUCUUUAUGAUAUGUGUGUGUACACCUGUGUUGUGUUGUGUGUGUAUUGUAUGUGUUCUGUGUGUCUGUUGUGGUGUGUGUUGUGUGUGUGUGAUGUGUCUGUUGUGUGGUGUUUGUAUUGGUGUUGUAUGGUGUGUGGUGUGUGUGUGUCUGUGUGUGAUGUGUCUGUUGUGUAGUGUGUAUGUAUGGGGUGGUGUGUGAUGUGUGUGUCUGUUGUGUGGUGUGUGUAUGAUGUAUGUCCGUUGUGUGGUGUGUGGUGUGUCUGUUGUGUAGUGUGUGUAUAUGGGGUGGUGUGUGGGGUGUGUGUGGUGUACGUGUGUUUGUUGUGUGGUGUGUCUGUUGCAUGAUAUGUGUAUGGGGUGGUUGUGGUGUGUGUCUGUUGUUUGGUGUGUGUGUGUGUGUGUGUGUGUCUGGGGGGUUGUGUGCUAUAUGAUGUGGGGAAUGGACAUUGACUCAGUGUGUGGUGUUGUCUGUUGUGUGUUGUGGUGUGUGUAUCUGUUGCGUGUUGUGUGGUGUGUGGUGCGUGUGUGUGUCUGGGGGGUUGUGUGCUAUAUGAUGUGGGGAAUGGACAUUGACUCAGUGUGUGGUGUUGUCUGUUGUGUGUUGUGUGUGUGUGUCUGGGGGGUUGUGUGCUAUAUGAUGUGGGGACAUUGACUCAGUGUGUGGUGUUGUCUGUUGUGUGUUGUGUGUGUAUCUGUUGUGUGUUGUGUGGUGUGUGGUGUGUGUGUGUGUCUGGGGGGUUGUGUGCUAUAUGAUGUGGGGAAUGGACGUUGACUCUGUGCGUGUGGUGUGUGUGCCUGUUGUGUGUUGUGUGGUGUGGUGUGUGUGUGUGUCUGGGGGGUUGUGUGCUAUAUGAUGUGGGGAAUGGACAGUGACUCAGUGUGUGUGGUGUGUGUCUGUUGUGUGAUGUGUGUUGUGUGGUGCGUGUGUGUGUCUGGGGGGUUGUGUACUAUAUGGUGUGGGGAAUGGACAUUGACUCUGUGUGGCUGGAAAGUGAUCUUUCAAGAGAGGAUUAACCAAAGGAAAUGGGAAAUUGAGGUCAGGAUGGAUAAGGAAAACAUGGGGCAAACUGGGUGGUCAGAGAAAGACGAGGAUGGCCUCUAGGCUCCAAGAGCACCCCAGAUAAAAGGCUGGAAUAGGGGCAGGAGAGAAGCCCCCCGUACAGAGGGUUAUUCCAGGGCCUGAGGGCAUCCCCUCCACCCCAGAGGAGUGAAGGUGGGAGGAAGUGUUUUCUGCUUAAGCAUUGGGAAUAAACGUGGCUGCCAACAACAGAAAACUUGACUGGCAGGUGUAAAGAAAUAGUGGUUUCUUUGUCUCCCAGAAUAAAAAAUCUGGAAGUGGGCAGGGCUGGCAUCUGUGGGGUUCACUUGGCCUUUCCCCAUGGAAAUAAGACUGCAGCAGUUUCCGUAUCAGGAGUCUUUUCAAAGCAGGAAGAAGGCGGUCUGUCCUAGGCACCCUCCUUCCACACAGGUCCCUUGGCCAGAACAGGUCACGUGGUUUCUCCCAGUUGCAAGGUAGGCCGGGGAAGCACAGGGCAGUUGCCAUGAUCCGUGGCUCACCCUGGCUGACCACUCUGUUAUGCCCCAAACAAAAGCAGUUUCAUUAGUAAGGAAGAAGGGGACAUGAAUAUCGGGAAGCCAGUCAUGCCACACGAGACCCUGGGGAGCAAACAUUUUUCCUUUUGUUGUUGUUGUAGAGCUGAGGUCUCACAAUGUCACCCAGGCUGGUCUCAAACUCCUGGCCUCAAGCGAUCCCCCUGACUCUCAAAAUGCUGAGAUUACAUGCAUGAGCCACCACACCUGGCUGAUAAACAUUUUCAAUAAAGGCUAAAUUCAGGUAAUAUAAUCUCCUGCCCUGCCCACUGCACAGACAAAUCAAUCUCGAAAGCUCAGAGGUAUUUCAAGAAUAGUUUGGUGGCUGGAUGCGGUGGUUCACGCCUGUAAUCCCAGCACUUUGGGAGGCCGAGGCGGGUGGAUCACCUGAGGUCAGGAGUUUGAGACCAGCCUGACCAACGUGAUGAAACCCCGUCUCUACUAAAAAUACAAAAUUAGCUGGAGGUGGUAGCGGUGGUGGGCGCCUGUAAUCCCAGCUACUCAGGAGGGUGACACAGGAGAAUCGCUUGAACCCGGGAGGCGGAGGUUGCAAUGAGCCGAGAUCGUGCACUCCAGCCUCGGUGACAGAGUGAGACUCAGUCUCAAAAAAAAAAAAAAAAAAAGAAUAGUGAAUAGUUUGGUGGACAGGGGCUAUAGGAAACGGGGAAUGUUGGUUGGUUGGGAAUGAAACCAUACGGGUGUGGAACCCGGUCCUCUGUGUGUGUGUGUGUAGACUGCCUCUGUGUGGGGGCCACAGGACCAACUGAGUCAUGAGUCUCAGGUUGAGUGGAGUCAGCCAGUCAGAAAUGCGAAAAGUCUGAAAAGACAUCUCAAAACACCAGUCUUAGGUUUUACAAUGGUGAUGUUAGCUACAGGAACAAUUGGGGAAAUUGAAAAUCUCAUGACCUCCAGAACAAUGGCUGGUUACCCUUUAUGCCUACAUCUCAGCAGAAUCCAGGCUCUUCUCAUAAUCCUGAUCUUGUGUGCUUUCAUUCAUUUUAUAAGGGUGGUUUAGUUUGGGGAAGGGCUAUUAUCAUCCUUGUUUUAAGGUUAAACAAUAAACAAAAUUCCUCUCAAAGUUACCUUGGCCUAAACCCGGCAGGAAUGACCCAGGUUGGAGACUGGAGGUAAGACAGCCAACUAUGUCAAAUUUCUCUUACUGUCAUAAUUUUAUUUUAUUUUAUUUAUUUAUUCAUUUAUUUAUUUUGAGACAGAGUUUUGCUCUUGUUGCCCAGGCUGGAGUGCAAUGGUGCAAUCUCAGCUCACCGCAACCUCUGCCUCUCGGGUUCAAGUGAUUCUCCUGCCUCAGCCUCCCAAGCAGCUGGGAUUACAGGCCCGCGCCACCACACCUGGCUAAUUUUGUAUUUUUAGUAGAGAUGGGGUUUCUCCAUGUUGGUCUCCAGGCUGGUCUCCAACUCCCGACCUCAGGUGAUUUGCCCACCUUGGCCUCCCAAAAUGCUGGGAUUACAGGCAUGAGCCACUGCGCCUGGCCUUUAUUUAUUUAUUUAUUUAUUUAUUUUUAAUUGAAAGAGACAGGGUCUCACUAUGUUACCCAGGCUGGUCUCAAACACCUGGGCUUAAUCAAUCCUCCUGCCUCAGCCUCUCAAAGUGCUGGGAUUACAGGCAUGAGCCACCAUUCAGCCAUUGGUUUCAAUAAUAUUCCAAAGUUGAUCUGAAAGAGCCUCCAGAAAGCUGUGAGGCCCCACAUUGGGAAUGCGACCCAAAACCCCAAGGUCGGGGUCCUGACCCAUUUGUGCGAUCAUCUCAGUCAACAUUAAUUGUCUUGGUCUUCUUAGCAACCUCACGAUGACAGAAAUGCUAUUAUUUCCCUUGCUACAGAUGAAAAAGGAGGGGCUCAGACAAGUUCAGAAACUAGGUCAAUGGCCGGGCGUGGUGGCUCACGUCUGUAAUCCCAGCACUUUGGGAGGCCAAGGCGGGCAGAUCACCUGAGGUCAGGAGAUCGAGACCAGCCUGGCCAACAUGGUGAAACCCCAUCUCUACUAAAAAGACAAAAACUAGCCAGGCAUGGUGGCCUACGCCUGUAACCCCAGCUACUCUGGAGGCUGAGGCAGGAGGAUCACUUGAACCCAGGAGGCAGUGGUUGCAGUGAGCUGAGGUCACACCACUGCACUCCAGCCUGGGCAACAGAGGGAGACUCCAUCUCAAAAAAAAAAAAAAAAGAAAAAGAAAAAAGAAACUAGGCCAAGGUCACACCGGCUGUGAGUGGCAGAGCAAGGGGUGCUGUCCGCAGAAUCCUCUCUUUUCACCACGUCACCCUUUGCAGGAGGAGCACAUAUGGGUCAAGAUGUUACGGGCUCAACCAGCGUGGUGGCUCACACCUGGAAUCCCAGCACUUUGGGAGGCUGAGGCAGGUGGAUCACCUGAGGUCAGGAGUUCAAGACCAGCGUGGCCAACAUGGUGAAACCCUGUCUCUACAAAAAAUACAAAAAUUAGCCGGGCAAUAAUAAUAAUAAUAAUAAUAAUGAAGUGAUGGGCUCUAAUCCAGACCCUCCUCGGGUUUUCAGUCCUAAACUCUUUGGCUACUCCUUACAGGAAGUUGUCCAGUUACACAUCUCUGAUCCUUCCCCAGGAUCAAAACCCAGGAAGGAGGCCUUGAAGCCAGACAGAACCAUGUUCAAAUUCCCACUCUACUACUUGGCAGUGUGUGGCCUUGGGCAAGUUACUUGGCUCUGAGCCUCCUAAGCAGGGGUAACCCCUUUGAGAGGUUGUAGGAUUCAAUGGGAGACCAUGGAUUAGCGCCAAGAAAUAGCAGGUGCUCCAUAAAUAUCCGUGCCUUUCUGGGGAUACAGCCAAGUGGAAACUCAGCCAUGGACGAUACCUGGGCUCCUGGGAGCCAACAUCACUUUAUUUCCCACAUUCUGCUAACAAAAUCCAAUUCGUUAUAAUCAGGGGUCAUCUGUUUUGCUUUCCUUUGCCAAUAAAAAAUUGACUUGGCAUGAAGUCUUCAGUAGUUACUUCAGCUAACAUUUGUUGAACACCGUCCAGGAGCCAGGCACCCUGCUGCUCAGAGGCUGGCCCUGGCCCUCUGGGAGUUCAGAGUCUCACUGCAGAAUGGCACCUGCAGGCAAAGAACUCUAAAACAAGGCAGGGUAGUGAGAGAUGUGAGCCAUACGUUCAAAAUGCUGGGACUUCAGAGACAGCAGAGGCCACCUGGGUGUGGCAUGGGCUUGGCAUGCAGUCCUCUGGGGCUACUGCGGAAGGGGUGUCACCAGGACCAGCUACAGAACUUAUGGGGCCCCUUUUUCAAAAAGUUAUUAAGAAUCUUGGUAAUAGGCCAGGCGCGGCGGCUCACGCCUGUAAUCC
rnacentral:lncRNA from 1 species